UAACCAUGAUGAGGACAGCAUUUGAGCAAGCCUUUAAACCUUUUCCAAUCUUCGUAGAAUGGUUUAAAAUCAAAUUACCUAAAUUGACCAAUUUCACUUCUAAGUUG
rnacentral:snoRNA from 1 species